AGGCCCACAUUUUUCUGACUUCCUAAUUCAAGCCACAAGACUUUCUAAUAAACUGCCAAUCCUAUUGCAUAUUUAUUUUUGCAAUAGCACCAAACCCACAAGUUGUAUCCUUCAUGGUUAGAUAUUCCCUAAAUGCAAUAAACAAUGUUCUUACACUAUUGUAAGGACUCUGUCCUUUUAAGUUGGUCAGUUAAGACCUGGUUUAGGUACACUGUCUUUAGUUAUGAUGUAAGCCUUUCAACUCAUAGGUGAUUGUUUCAAGAAUUCUGUUAAGCUGGUGUUACUGCAAGAUUCCUGACAAGUAUAAAGUAUAAUGAAGUGUGCAAAUAAAUAAUAUCAUAAAUAGUGAUCCUUUUAGACACAAUGCUGAUAGGAAAUCUAAAUCUCUCAUCAAGAUUUUCUUUACAGAUGAUCUUUACAGAAAAGAUGAUAUAACUAUUAAAAUCAGUUUACCCCACACAAGUAGUUGUGCAAUUUGGAUCAGAACCUAACCCAGAAGAUUCCACUUGCUUUUUCCCAUUUUACACACAUAGGGAACUGGUAAUUUCUGCUGUUCUGAAAAUGUUCUGCCAAUACAUUUUCACUUCCCCUCUGCAAGGGCAAUGCCUUAGGCCAGUUCUGUGAAAUCCCCUCGAUCCUAAAGCUCUCCUGCUCACUAUCCUACCUCAGGGAAGUCAGGCUUCUUGUGGUCAGUGUAUUAGUAACAUUUGGCUGUUUUGUUUUCAUUGUGGUGUCCUAUGCGCAGAUCUUCAGGGCCGUGCUGAGGAUCCCCUCUGAGCAGGGACGGCACAAAGCCUUUUCCACCUGCCUCCCUCACCUGGCCGUGGUCAGGUGUUACAUUUUCACUCUAUGGAUAAAUUGAUUAAGGUUUUGUCAGGCCAAUUUUGAAGCUUUCUUUCAAGAAAUUCACAAAUCUGUAAAAUGUCAUGUUGCUUUUAUACUUUAAAACAUCUUAAAGAUCCACUUAGGGAAAGGAUGCAUUUUAUUUAUGACUUUCCUAUCAUCUUGACUUAAAAUGUUUAAAUCUCCUAAUUACUGGAAGAAAAAAGAUUUCUGAAUGACUUAAAAAAGUGAAGAAAAUGUACAGGUUAGGAAUUUGUUAGUGUGGUGACAAUAAGUCCCAGAUACUUAGAAAGUAAUUGGUGAGCUAAUUAUAUAGGCUGAAAAUUUUGCCUUUUAGAUCCAUUUUGGACAGACCUAUCUAUAUAUGAAUCUUCUAUUACCUACUCUUAUCUAUCUUGUUUGUCACUGUUAUUUUCUCCACAUUAGGAGAAGUAGAGGAGAAAGGACAUUCUCCUUUCAGCAUUUCCAGGACUGUGGAGAUACAACUUAACGUCCUGGAACAAACAGGGCAAUGCUGGACCAGUUCUCUUCCAUAGAAAGAUAUACCUACCUCUCCCAGCAGAUGAACUGGAAAGGAUAUGGACAUCUUCCUGGCCUGAAAGUAUUUAUGUGAAGGACACAGGAUGGACUUAAGUCCCUACAUUGGCAAUGUCAUUGGACUGCAUUUUUUUUUUCCUAAAUGCAACACUGUCAUUAUAUUUACAUUUCCAAAAUUCUCAUGUAGUCACCACCAUAUUCAAAAGACAAUUUGAAUAUGGAUUGUUCAAUAUUUGAAGCUAAGCUAGGACACUAAUUAAUCCCUUUUCUGCAGUUCUGUAAUGAGUUGGCGAGCUUACAAGUACCACUGACCUCUAAUGGAUGGAAUCAGAACUGUUCAGUCAUUUGUCAUGUGUCAUAGGGCACAACUCAUGGCAAAUCUGCUUUAAGUUAAAUACUAAGGACUUCUGCUUUUGGGUCAGGAGAAGCUAAUUUCAAGCUCAGCUGCCGCCAGGAAUUUCUGAGUGGUUGUGCUCUCCAGUUCAAGAGUAAGGUGUCAUUAGCGAGCCCAAAUGAGUGAGCAGUUACUCACAAGAAUGAGUUAAUGCUUUGUUUGCCACUGUAAAAAAGUUUGCAGUCUGUCCACAGUAACAAAUGUGAAGCUGUAGGUGGUGAGAAAUUUGUUAUACUAUAUAAACAGAACAUUUCAGAGCUAUUAUAAAAUUUGAGGUUUUUGCUGAACAGUGCUCUUUAUUAUGUCUUUCUUCAUUGUGGGCUAGCUAGCAGUGAUUCAUGGAAUAUUACUGUACAUCUGAUUUUAGUAGUUACCCAUUACAUCAUGUUAACAUAUUUCAGUAAGUAAUCAAUUCAGGUUUUGGUAUGCUGCUUUAAUUCAGAUUUCAUUCUUUGCCUAGUAUUUAUUUUUGGAGGUGUGUUGUCCAUCUUCGUCUGAGAUCAUACUGCACUCUUUGCAGUAGCCAUUUUAGGAUAAAAUGCUUAAUAAGAUUUGCAUUUAAAAAAUGAACUGAAAGAACUGGACACCCUCCAGCAAGAAACAAGUAAUUAUGUCAUUUGUAUUGCAAAACAGGAGCAGCUGUAAGACAUCAGUAUACUUUUUAAGAAGACUGAUAUUCUUAAGAAGCAUUACAUCACAUACAAAACAACAGGCCAGGUGGAGGGGAGAAGCCCUUUCCAGUGUGACCUGCCAACUCGUAGGCAGGGACAUGGUUUUUAUUCUGGGUUCUGCUUAAUCAAGAACUCCAAAUUUACCGCUUUGAUUUUUUGCCUUUUACUUUCAUGAUAUUGUGAUUAUGAAAGCUAGUGAGGGACAUUAUUAGACUUUGUCCAUGAUCAGAAGAAUUUUUUUGGUAGAUUUGUCCCAGAAAAUCAUCCAAGUGUUGCGUAACACAUACAGAAGAUUUCUGUCUGGUUAGGUUAUCUUACAUUUCUUCUCCCCACCCCUGCCAAAUUAUGAGCUACUUUUUUUUUCUCUGUAACUGUGCAAAACCUGGCAUAACUAAGGUGUAUUUUGCACGGUUGGUUACUAUGGCAAGAGGUAUUCUAUGUAGCUUAGGUGCUUCUGGCCUUUAGUCUUCUUGUUCCAAGUGAAAAUGCAGGAGCUAUUAUUCCUGUCUGGUUGGAUGACUAAACCAGUUUAAAGAGUCUUCAGGCAAAGCACUGUUUGUGCUAAAAUCCAUGUAAUGUUUUGUGAAUCUCAAGUAGAAAUGUUCAUCAGUUUUUCAAAUACUUGUGAAUAAUAUGUAAUCUCGUGAAAAAGAAACAUGUAUGUUUGGCAUUUUAUUAAUGAAAAUAUUCCCAAAUCAGUGUGUUAGCUUGUUUAAAUAAUCAGUAACUACCCUGAAGAGAGUCCAUUUGCAAAAAGCUGUUAGGUGAGUAUUAAUAAAUUAAUAUGUUAAUUAAUUCUGCAUCCGUGUGCAGACUUUAUUGCUGUUUGCUUUGUAUCUUUUUUUAAGUAAACCAUUUUGAGCUUUUAUUUUUGUGCAUAGCAAAACUUUAGGUUAGAGUUGGUCAAUCUAUUCUCAUAUUGGCAGAAGGGGAUUUUCAUUGAUCGUUUUCUCUGUAUUUGCCGUUUUUCCUCCUUCUCUAAACCCUAGUGCUGUAAUGCAGAAGAUUUAUUGUCAAUGAUUUAUUAAAAUGUAAUUCUAAGGUGACUUCUUAUCGUGAAAGUAAUCUGCAGGCUAUCUUUGUUUAAACUUGCAACCCGCUUUGUCAAAGAAAACAGCCUAUGAAAUUUUCAUUAUAAUAGACAAGUUUUUAUAAUGAACUAGGAAAAAGCUAUUAUGACCAAACAACAAAUUGUUAGGAAACUUAUGCAUUGAAACAAUAUGCUCAUUAAUUGUAAUUUUUUGGGGAGUGUGAACAAUUCCUUUCAAUGGUUACAUUUUUCAGUCUUACAAAUUAAUUUGAAUUACCCAAUAUCACUUAAUUUUUCCCUAGGAAAGCUUCUGCUUGCCCGAGCAAUAUUAUAACUGCUAAUUCAAUUACACUGAAAUUGUUUAAUAGAAAAUAUAAUUGCUUAUUCAUACAGAAUACCCAUUAAAGAAGUGCAAAGGCCUAUACCCUAGGGUUACUACAUAUUAGUACUUUGGGAAUUCAGAUGGGAAUGCUGGGUAGGGAAGGUGCUGACUGAUCUUUAAUUGUUCAUCACCUGCCUCCAAAAUAAUAUGAAUGGACCCAAACUAAAUGACCACUCAUUACAAGUUUCAAUUUAGGAGCUUGGCUGGGGUCAGCAGAUUGCUUAUGCUGAUCGCAAUGAUUUGAAGUUGUGAUUACCAUAAGCAAUUUAAAUUUUAUUGAUCUACCCUUCUGAAAGUUGUAAUUGAGCAUAGAUGUUGGACCCGUAGCUCUCCAAACUAAAUUGUACUCUGAAGCCCUUGCUGGAUUACUGCAAGAAUCAAUAAGCAGUCAGUCACAUUAACAAUGAAAUAGCUCCAUUAACAUACAGUGCUAGUGGUGAAACUUUAUUUAGGAGGGGUGUUAGUUCACUUCAUUGUUUUAUCAAUGAAUUUCAGUUGUACAGGGAAAAGUAUAGCUUGUGUACGUCUAAUGAGCUUGCAUAAUGGUGAUCUUAUAUGCUUUAACUAUGAGACUUUUUAUGGGAAAGAUUCUUUUUUUUUUUUUUCUGUGACAGAUUUGCUUUAGCAUGAUCAGAGGAACUAUGUAACCGGAAUAACAAUUUGUUAACUGUGGUGCGCUGAAAUAACUUGGGUGACAAAGAGUUUUCUGCUGUGACAUAUGUUCACUAUUAGUGGGUUUCAGACAAAAGGUCAUGUCUCAAACAAGAACACAGACACAUAGUGAAUUUAUUCUCUCUAUAUAUUUUGAAAUUCCAAGCGGAGUUAAUGGUCGAUCUCCUAAACACCCCCUCUCCAAGUUUCCUGCACCUCUGUGGCAUUCCUGAAGAGAUUAGAACAGUGACCAGAGGAAGGCUGGUUGUUCUUACAUAAAAUAGGCAGCAGAAAAAACACCAAAGUGUUAGUAAGAUGGAUAAUAGACUUGUCUGGAUUGCAUGAAAAAUAUUUUUCCUGUGAUUCAAAAGUUCCUCAAAAUUUGGGAAGGAAGAUGGAGAAACUGGACCAUUUGAAGCAUGGCAUGGCCGCAAACACAGAAAUGUCUUUGACUACAUCUCUCAUGUAUCCCUUUUUCUCUACCUCUGCUUUUACUGUAUCUUCUGUCAUACUUUUGUUUGUCAUGACUUUAACUCAUUGCAAUCUUCUUUCCUGCAGUACCUCAAAGCCCUAGCUACAGUACAGCCUGUCUCCCUUCCCUCCAUACUAAGUUUUAAAUGAGCAAAGAACCAAUAUUUCUUGACUUUAUUGGCAGUGGUAUUGUGCUAAUUGAGUAGUUUUAAUGAAGUAAACUUGGAUUUGGGAAAGUGCCAUCUUUGUAUUCACCAAAAUGGUCAUAAAAGAGCCAUAAUGAUAGCAUUUUAUCUUACACUUAUACCUCUUGACUACCUAAGGAGUUGUUGAUUUCAUACUAUCCCAGACAAUCCUACUGGCAACUCAUCCAUGAAGAAACGAAAGCUAUUAGCAGUAUACCAGGCUUAGCUUAGACACUGUUGAAAACCAUUGCCAUUAGAUAGAGUUACUUUUCAGGACCAAAAGAUCUCUCUUCUAGUGAAAGGAUUCACAUGUUUUUGAAGAAGAGUAAUGCCAUCAGCUGUGGUCAUGGUGUUGCAUAGCAGCAUUGAGAGCAGCAGUGCUGGAUAACCAACUUUAUGUACUCCUUGACUUGAAAACCCCUUGCAGGACACAAACUAUAAUUUCAGCACCUCAUUACUACAGAAUUUGAGGUCUUAUAAACACUCCACAGUCAAAAUGCCUAACAUACAUCUAUGCAGAACUGUCACUAAUAUGUUUGAAAUAAAGGCUUAUACAUUAAAAUUUAGCACUAGAUAGCUUUUGUAGUCUAGGACAUAUACUUCAGAUCAGUGAGACCAGGCAUCCUAAAGGGUGUAGGCAUGCUACAGUGAAGAGCACACACAGCCCUUUUCUAGAAAUAUAGUCCUGAAUUUUGAUAUGAGCUGGUUUUUAGCUUAGGACAGUUCAACCAGUUCUUUGCAGCUGUAACAACACAAACAAAUAUUUUGUCCUGUUCUACAGCAUAAAAAAAAAAGAAGUGUAGAAGUACUUCAUGGUAUUUUUACUGCUUUCUCAGGAAUUUAUUUUCUCCAGGUUUCUGCCACUAUAUGCUUACUGAGAUGGUAAGCUCUUUUGCCCUAGAUAUUGGUUUAUUGAGGAUUCAAAUUAAUGCAUGUGUACCAUGAUCCAGCUCUUGGAAUUCCUCUCUCAUUCAGCAAUUCAAUUGGUAUGGUUUAUGCAAGUCCAGGCCCAUAUCUACUUUAUAGAAACUCACGCAGAGGAUGAAUAAAAGAACACAUAUAUUCUUCAGAAUUCUUUCAGCUGAGGCAGUGUUGUUAUCCUAGGGAAUCAUGUGGAAAAAAAUACAUUCUACUUACAUAGAAUUUCUAUACCAACUUCUGACGUAGAGCAGACACAGAGCAAUGUGAGAUGUGGCAUUGAUUCGUAAAAGGCUUAAUGUCAAUGGUCACUCUCAAGUAUAGCAACAUGUUUACAAGUGUAAGAAACUCUAAAAAGAGACAUAGCUGACCUUUAUAUAGGAAACAUUGGCAAGAAUAAUGUGCAGUGAAAACUGUCUUAUAGAAAUUAUGGUUCUUCAGAUAAGAAAUUGUAUUAAUUAGAAGAGCAUUUAAGUGUUUUAUAAACUAUAAGAUCACUUGUAAAAUUUGUAAUCAGAUAUAUAUAUACUCAAUUUUCAAAAAAGAUUUUUGAAUAUGGUGUUCUACUACUAAUAUAUUUAUUGCAGAAAAUCUGAGAAAAACAUGUCUGAUUGAUCUAUAUGCUAUAUAAAAUGUCAUGCAUCAAGAAAAUUCCACAUGUACUAAGUGUUACACUGAAGGGCUGAAGAGUUCUCUGUCAUGAUAGCCUGAUUAUGAGAUAUUAUAUAUCAAUUUACAUUGAGGAAAGAAAAUCUUCUUUUAGUGCUUGAGAUUCUGAUCUCUCUAUCAUCUCUUUUAUGCUAAAGAACUUUGGGUUUUCAGGUCAUUUCUGAUAGGGUCCCUAAACAAAAACAAAAAAAAAACCCAAAACCCACCUUUAAUUGAGAGCCCUUUACACUAAAAACAAUUAAGUUUUGAGAUCUAUUUAAUUUUUACUGGUUUUAAGCACCAUCAUAAACAUCUGCCACCUGGCAUAGAAAUUGCUUCAUAUGGCAGGUGGGGAGAUCAGAUUUAUUUAAAAGUUCUUUGUCUUUGAUACUUAUCCCUGCUGUAUUUUCCAGUGGAAUAAUUUGAAAGUGAUGGCAUUUAAAAAACCAUUUAUUGCCAUAAUGGAAGAAUACAGUUAAAAAAUACAUAGCGUAAUUGCUGUCAUUCCAAUAUAAUAAUACUGCAGUAGGCGUAAUAGAGCAAGCCAUCUUCAGUCUAGUUUGGCCUCCAGCCAUAACAUUGGCCAACACUUUGAUCAUUCAGAAGAAAAUAAAACGCCUUCAGCCACUUUUCUGCACAUAUAUGUAAUGCAUAAAUUGAUUGAUUUAUUAACCUGGACAAAAAAAAAAAAAAAAAAAAGUUUUAUUUUCCCUCUGUACUGUAGACAGUGCUGGAAACUUCAGAUCUGGGAGGUGACUGUAGUCAGUUUUGAACUCAUCCACAAAAUCAAAAUGAGUUUCACGUUGCCCUUUGAAAAGCACAAUGUGUAAUACACAUGGAACCUCCUUCCCAUGAAUUGCAACCCACCUGUUCCAUAUGCUCUCUCCUGUACAGACUUCUUGUGUAUUUUUUUAAUGCCACCAGAAUCCCAAAGCAAUUUAUAAAGAAGCAUGAAUCAGCAUUAGAUAGCAAGCAUAAGAGGGGGGGCGGGGCAAAUUUAAGGGAAAACAAGUUCUGCUUAUUUUUUCCCUGCCUUGACUUCCUUCACAUUAUUGCAUACUUUUUGCAUGGCAUUUUAGAGACAAAGAAAGAAAGGUAUUUCCUAUUGUCCUUCUCCUGAGACAUUUGACCUCUUUAAUGGAAUAAUCUCGUAAAAUCAUCUGUCCUUGCAAAAUUUGAAACAUCUUGAGCAAAUGAUCUCAUCUGAACAGUUCAAUCUGUGAAAUUCUUUCUGAGUCAAUUAGGUCCAUAUGAGCUUAAUGCAGAACUAAGACCAUACAAAUAGUUAGUCAAGAAAAUUUGCAAAAGGCUCUGAGUGCAAUAUUAGCAACUAUAAAAUCAUCAAACAUUGCUUUAAAUGCAGUGAUAACACUUGAUUCUUGUGCCACUAAUUUUCAACAGCUGAGUAUGACUGCAAAACAGUGGUUUAUAUCUGAUUCAUUUUGAUUGCUUUUACAUUCCAAGUGGUCCUAAAAGUCCUUUUGGAUAUGAAGUGGAGGAGGGAGAGUGAAGAGGCUGAUUUAUGCAUUGUAAUCCUGUGAAUUUUGGGUACCUCGAUCACCCUUCCCCAACUUUUAAAUCAAGAUUUUUUAAACUUGGCUUUGUCUGUGCUAGCAUUGAAUAAAUAUCCCCAUUACCUCAUUCCUCUGUUGACAAGAAAUUUCGUGGAAACAGCAAACCAUAAGUAAGUCAUAGAAAACGUUCUUGAACAGCAAAUUGUAAAGUUGGUGACAUGAAAAUAUUCACCAAAGAUCUGCCCUCUGUGUCCUGUGACUUGUCAUUUUUAGUGUGCAUAACAUACUUAUUGUGGGUAAUGUAGAGAUGAAGAUUUGUCAGGAUUGUUGAGAAAAUAAUUUUGAGUAAGAAAUAUAUCUGUGGAAGAGAGUAAUGAUGUUUAAAUGGAGGAUUCAUUUUAUGUUCAGCUACCAUAGUUUGUCCUGUUUUUCUUCCAGCCCUUUAACUCAUGAAAACAAAACUGAACGUAAACCAUUGUCUUAGAUUGUUACUCAAGUUUCUUGAUUGCUCUUUCUUCUAACUUUGCUUUUAACUGCUGAGGAAACUGGACAGAUAUACUCAUUAUGGCAUUCAAAUCAAUUCCACAGCAUCUUCCUCAGAGUUUUCAACAAUAUUCAUUGUCCAAGGAAUGCAUUCAUGGACCAUCAGUGUGUGAACGUAGAUUCAUUUUGGCCAGCAACUGUCAGCUUGCCAAGCUUCAUCUCUUUACUUCCCUUCAGAGUCAGAACUGAAAUUUCCCAUACCUAGCAAUCAUUUUAAAUUGAACCAUUGUCAAAUUUAACUAAGUUAAUAAAUUUUUUGUUUGAGGCAUUUAUAAAUAUUGGAGGUAGACCAAACAAAAGCCAAGUUUCGUACUAAUUUUGGAGAAAAGUAAGGUCCAGGUUUUUCUGUAUAGGCUUUUGGAAAUUCAGGUUUAGUUCUCUGUUCUACUGCAACUUUUACUACAGAGGUUAAUCAGUUAAGGUUAUGAUUUUAAAUGUUCAAAUUUUGCCCCUACAAUGUCAGUUAAGAUACUGGUGUGAUUUUGAAAAUUUGCAUAAGUUCUUGAACUGUAUUCGCUGUCUCAGAAUUUAACAAAUGUAAUAAUCAGAAAUCAGAGUGUUUUUUUCUUGCUAUUAGAAACAUAUCAAAAUAUUUUUUCAUUCUUUCUCUUUCCUUCUUUCUCUCUUUCUUUCCUUCUUUCUCUCUUUCUUUCUCUCUUUCUUUCUUUCUUUCUUUCUUUCUUUCUUUCUUUCUUUCUUUCUUUCUUUCUUUCUUUCUUUCUUUCUCUCUUUCUUUCUCUCUUUCUUUCUUUCUCUUUUCUCUCUCUCUUUCUCUUUCUUUCUUUCUCUCUUUCUUUCUCUUUCUCUCUUUCUCUCUUUCUCUCUUUCUUUUCUUUCUCUUUUCUCUCUCUCUUUCUUUCUUUCUCUCUUUCUUUCUCUCUUUCUCUCUUUCUCUCUCUCUUUCUCUCUUUCUCUCUCUCUUUCUCUCUCUUUCUCCCUCCCUCCCUCCCUUCCUUCCUUCCUUCCUUCCUUCCUUCCUUCCUUCCUUCCUUCCUUCCUUCCUUCCUUCCUUCCUUCCUUCCUUCCCUUUUAAAAUUUAAGACAGUAAUUUUUUUACUGCAGUGACUUCAAUUUUAUUAAGAUAAAUUUUUCUGGGAGGAGAAAUGUCCAUUCUUUCUUUGUUUCUUUCCUACCAGGUAAAAGUUUCUAAAUAUUUUUGUGACCUUGUUGCAUUUUCUUCUAUUAUUCUGCCAUGUAGUGUCUGGUUUAUACGUGGAAAUAUUAAGAUACAUAAUUGCUAAAAUCAUGUGGUUUAUGUGGCAUAACAAUCUUGUGCAUGUGUAAAAAUAACUGUGAACAGCCUUACAUACAACACUUAAUCCAGAGGAGGGCUACAAAGUUGGUGAAGGGACUGUAGAGGAAGCCGUAUGAGGAGCAGCUAAAGUUACUUGGUUUGUUCAGCCUGGAGGAGACUGAGGGGAGACCUCAUAGCAGCUACAGCUUCCUCACAAGGGGAGGAGGAAGGACAGGUACUGAUUUCUCUGGCAACCAAUGACAAAACCCAAGGGAAUGCCAGGAAGAUGUGCCAGGGGAGGUUUAGGUUGGACAUUAGGAAAAGGUGCUUCACCCAGAGGGUGGUGGAGCACUGGAACAGGCUCUUCAGGGAGAUGGUCACAGCCCCAGGUUUGACAGUGCUCAAUAAGAGACUGGACAACACCCUCAGACACAUGGUGUGAACUGUGGGGUUGUUACAUGCAGGGACAGGAGUUGGCCUAGAUGAUCCUUAUGGGUCUCUUCCAACUCAGGACAUUCUAUGAUUCUAUAAUAAUUUAUUAAACAUAUUCUUAAUCAUUUAUUAUUUAUGAUAUAAUUAAUAGAUAUAUUAAAUUCGGAACUUCAAAGUCUGAGUCUGUGUUUAAAAAGCCAAAAACUUUCAGCUGGUGUAAAUUGUCAUGGCUGUUUUUAUUUUGGAAUAAAUGCUCUGUAUGGCUCAACAUUUACAUUUUGGUGCUUUCUGUUCAAUAGCAGGCUGGGGAAUGCAGCAAAGCAUUUGGAAGAUGCCAUGAGGAUGACUGCCCACUGAGGUAUUUAUCCUCCAGUGCUGCACCAUCUAGCUCACUCAGCAGCCACUCAGGCUUCCCCAUAUAAGUGCUUCAACCUUGAACUUCCAGGAUUGAGAAACCACAGCGGCUACAUCUUCUGAAGGUGAAAUUUCUAGUGUUAGUGGGGCGUCUUUCUGUAAUUUUCUCCUGUCUUUUUGUCACUAUAAUUUACCAUAAGGUAGACCAAAGGGCUGGAAGAAAGAUUAGGAGGAUGGAAAACAAAUGAGCCAAGCAAACUUUGGAGAGCAGUUGACUGGAGAGGAUGUGACAGUGUCUAAAAAAAAGAGGAAGAGAAUGAUGAGGUAGAAUGAAAAUACGAUUUCUUCCAGAAUACGGAUCAUAUUUAGUAGAGAUAUUAGUUAUGAUUUUCCACUGACUUGAGGGGUAUAACUCUUGUAUAUACUGUGACAGAUUUUUCAUGAAAUUGUUAUGAUUUCUGCCCUUUGAUGAUAUGGAACAUAAUUUUGGGGGCCCAUGAAUUGGGGCUAAUAUUCUAUUUGCUGUCUUUUUUUAUAAGAGCAGUCCUUUGAAGAGGUAACUUAGUUGCUCUUAACUGCAUUUAAAAAUCUCUUUUCUGGUGAAGUUCCUCAACAACUUUUGAAACAGCUGGAAUUAACUAGAAAAGGGUAAAUGCUUUAGACAAGUUCACUCCAAAGCAGUGCUUUGGCGAUGAUUGCUGGAACAUGGUAGCAUAUGGUAAAACCACAGAACUGCAGUUUUAUGGGCUCUUAACUCUCCUAAGCACAGGGCUGACUUUCUAUGACAAUUUUUUCUCAAUCUACUUUGAUCAGUUUAGCCCUUUACGUUUCACGGAACUUAAAAAAACGCAUCCCUAAGAUAGCUAUUUUGUAGCCAUCUCCUUUCCAUUUAGUGAGUGCUUGUUCUGUUUUUCUUAUGUAUAAAAAACACCUUUUCACAACAUUGUUUUAGUUAGUAAGAUACAGUUUGUGUUGAAGCUAGUUGUAGUAAGUCAGGAAUCUGGAAUACAACUUGGUGAUUUACAUAAUUAGAUAGCUGUAAAUGAAGGAUAGUUCAUUGUUAUAGCACUCUAACAACCUGCUAGCCUGAAGCACAAGAAACAGAGACACUGGAAAGUUCAGAUUUGAAAUAAUACAUAAGCUUGAGAACUAACUCGAUGUGAAGUUUCUAAAUUAAAAUUAAAAGUUUCUCUUAGGGACUCAGCAGAGUGAAACAGAAUUUUCCUCUAGAUAAUAAAAGUGUUAUUUUCUUUUUGCUAGGGGAAUUUCUGAGAAAUUAAUAUUAUUAUUUUUUUGCCAACCUGCCCUCUUUCAUAUUCAUUUGUAGGAAGAGGUACCUGUCAGUCGUAUUCUGUGAUGCUUAAGCAUCUUUGUGAUUCCUGUGUCUUGUGACAUAGAACAAAUUUAGUUCCUCACACUUCCAGCUGCAUCCUUGAGGACUAUACCACCUAUGGAAGUCCAGCUAAAGUACUUUCUUAUGAAAACAGAUGGUGUCAAUUGUUUCUGUAAAACAAAAGAUGAAAAGAAAAUGUCUGUCUGAGUUAAAUUCUAGAGAUGUGACCCAACUGUACAUAGGCAAUCUCUGUAACAGGGAUGUCAGAAUGACUGUGACCAAAAAUCACAUUAUACUUCAGUAGCAGGAUUCUUGAAGAGACACCUUUUGAAGUGGAGCAUUGUGUUCGACCAGCUGGUUGGCCUGAAUUUCCAUUGUUCCUCUUGGCUCUCUAGUGAUAUUCAGAUUUUUAUAUUGUUUUAUAUUAUCUCACAGCUCUUCCUAGUAUUUACAUUCACAUAACACUGAUGAAGAAAAUCAAAAAGCCUAACAUAGAGAAGCUAGAGAACACGUUUGUCUCUGAAGUGUGUGCGUGCAUUAAAGAUGGUAUUAAAGGUGUACUAAAUAGGUAUUAAUCUUGGUGUUUGUGUUUUUUGGUUUUUUUUUUUUGUUUUGUUUUUUGUUUUGUUUUUUUAAACAUUUUACAUGAAAGCUGCCAUGACUGGAAUAAGAGUGAAAUGAACAUAAGUAUGAUAAAUGAUGAAGUGCUCCUGGGAGUAAAUAUACCACUCAGAAAGAGCAUUGCUAAUCAAGCACUGCAGCCAGCUAAUGCACUCUGAGAGCAAGUACCUCAAAAAAAUUCUAAAUUUGAAACAUUGAAGGCUGGCAUUUAGCUUGAGUAGCUUAUGUUUUAAGAUGAAACUGCUGCAUCAGGGGGAUCACAGUAGCAAAAUGAAACCUUGGAAGAGGCAGAGGCUUGAUGUCUUGACCAACAAGACUGAGGGGAAAAAAGAGAAGUAAAAGGUGAAUUUGAUACUUGGUAUGUAGUGACUAAGAAUUUGGACAGUGAAUAGGAUUAGGUAAACGAGAGGAUAAAAUGUGGCCCUCUUAGGUUCAUAAUAGGUCUAUACCUGUUGGUGUCUGCCAGGCUGACCGAGGUGCUGCUUUGUUACAGCUGUGUCUUUGAAGGAUAUUCCUGAAUGCCUUCAAGAAGUUUGGUAGCCCGGGUGCCACGAGGCCUUUGGUCUGGCACAUGAAAGCAGGCUGUAUGCAUUGCUUUUAGAGAAAGCAGCAUAUGUUCUGCUUGUGAAUUUCAUCUGCCACCCACUCCUCAGGCGUAUAACACUGCCCACACGUCUUGCCUGAAUGACUUGGAAAAUAUAUUUUUAUUUCAAACUGUUACUCAAAGUUGGAAUUAUCCAAGCUAUGAUGGGUCAGGAAAAUCAUGCAGAAGGGCUUCUCUUUUUUAAAAGGAGCGUGAAAAGUACUCCUGGCAUGAGAGAAUGACACAUAACUCUAGAUUGUGUUUCGGGUAAGUAUUAGGGAAGUAUUCAACAGUGUUUAUCUAAAAAACUUUGUAGUUACCCUAUUUUUUCAAUGUUUACAAAAUUGCAUGCAAGAAGUUGCAAGUGUGAGUGUGAAUCCACCUAACUUUUUCAGAAAUGUUUUAAUUUCACCUGAUACUUAUUCAACUUCACUUAAUCUUGUGAUUUAGCUGUUUCAUAACUCCAGAAAUGAUGGGGGUCCUUCUUUGAGUCUUAUCUGAUCCUACUGUGUGACAUGGAAGGAAACAGAAUUCCAAGCAGUAAUCAAGAUGUGUUUGUAUUAGAUCUAGAUUAUUGUGUUUUCCAUUUUAAUCUGUGUUCCUUUCUCGGUCAUUCCUGAUGUUCAGUUUGCAUGUCUGACCAGCACUGAUCACUAAACUGACAUUGGUGAGCAAAUAGAGUAACUUCAAGAUCUUCUUCUGUAAUGGUAACAGCUAGUUUAGAACUUGUAACUGUGGUAUACAUAGUUACCAUUACUUUUGGUUUUUGCAUUAUUUUGUGUUUAUCAACUUUUAAUUUCACCUUUUAUGCACAGUCAUUUAAUAUUGUGAGAUCUUCCUACACUGUCUUUUAAUUUUGACAGCUACGGAGAUUUGAAAAGCAUGAGUCAAGCUUCAGGAAAUCAUUAGAUUGCCUUUAAAAUUAUUAAUAUAGAUACUCUUUAAUGUAUUUUGGUUUAUGCAAAUUUUUAAGCUUUUCUCUGAGGCAAACAGGUCUGGAAAUACCAUUGUGUUUUUUAAUAAAAGUUUAUAUUCUCUAAUAAUAUUUUGAUUUGGUUAUCUGGAGAUUUAAAGAAAUUUUUAAGUGUUUCAAGAUUCAUACAUAAAAUUCAAGUAUUGGCAACAGUGUCCAGAUUGUCACUUCAUGCUUCCAUAUAGUUCAGGUAGCUGAAAAGUAACAGAGAACAUAACUGUAUGUGAUAAUAUCACAGUGGCAUUGUAAGUCACCGUAUCUCAGCUGAUCUGCUAUGAUUGGACAUGUACUCUUUGGAUGUCUUCUGCUGAAUUAUAGGCAUGUUAGAGAGAUAAUUUAUUUCCAAAUUGGAUCCAGAAAUUAAUCUCAUGUGAACUGAGACUCAUUCACAGCCGCAAACCCAAAUGUCUUUUCCAGAACAUCUUCAGAAAAAAGCUUGGAGCUCAGUGUCUGUAAAGGAUGGUUUCACUCUUUACAUACUUUUAUAUUUGUGCAUUUUACUCAUCAGAAAGUGAUUACUAAUAAUUAAUCAGCAGAAGGUAGUUAACCCAGUUGUUUUGGGUUUGAACAGCUGGUUUAAAAAUAUCAAAUAAUCUAGCUGCUUGUAUGUGUAGGGACAAAAACGCCUCUCUUUGCACCUUCCCUGGGCUUGCCCUGCUGAUUAUAUUAAGGGAAGUAUUUGUUUAUUAUUGUAUUUUGUAGUAUCUCCUGAGGACAUCCUAGCACAUUAUAGUGCUAAGGAUCUUGGGAGAGCAGUACAGUUUGGUCAUCUGUAUUGUUAGACUCCCUUCUUUCCCUCUACUUGGACUUGCCUUGCUUGACAGCUUGUUGUGAGGUAGAAUAUCACUUAGCUACAUGGAUGAGGCAACUCUAAUGCCUCUUUUUCCUUUUCUGAAGUGAAACAAACUUGUCAGGAUCCUUUGCAGAUGGAAUCGUAGUCCAUUUGGUAUAGCCUUUUUGCACUGAAAAAUUAAUAAAUUCACUUUCCUUAGAAUCAGGCUUAAAGAGGGACUUAUAUACUAGACACUAGACAAUUUUGUAACUGUUGCUGCUUAUAUUUUUGACACUUAGAAGUAGACAAAAAAUAAACUGUAACCAUAAAUUGUUGUUAACUUUUUUUGUGUAUCAAAGUGAACAAUAGAAGUGGCUUAUUUUGAAUGUCAAGAUUUAUUUUUGCAGUUUUCCUAAAUGUGGGAAGACUAAACUGCUGUGAUAUAUGAGCUGUAGAUCUAGGCACAUUUAACAAAAAGAUUGUUCCUGCUGAACCUUUUAUCAUGAAAAUCUUUUAAAAUAUUUCCCAUUUAUGUGAAGAUUUGUUAAGCUGGAGCACUGACAUUUUCCAACAUCGUCCCUUGCUUAAGUGCAGUUGAGAAAGUUGCUGCAUGCUCAAUUACAUGAGCACAGGCUGUUAGUAAGUGGGACCAAGAUCUGGCAGCUUGUAGCUCUGUAUUAGCUUAGUUUGUGUUAUAGCCAAUUGCUGUCUGACCUCUCCACACUGUGCAGGAAAUGCAAUGCCAUCUGUAUAUCUCUUAGUCACAUUAAAUUAUGUCAUUUAUAUUAGAUUGGAAUGCAGAGUUUACUUUAUGCUUUGCAGCAAAAUUAGCAGAAGUAAUAAGAUAUAAGCAGAAGCACAAAGGUGAAAAUUUGUGGGGCCUGUUUCUCUCCAGCUUGCUUUGAUUCUGCCAGGUGUUGAAUUGAGGGAGGGAGGGAGGUUGUUUAAAUCUAUGGAGGUGCUAGCAUGUGUAAAUGUUUAUAGGUCUUAAACAUCCACUGAUUUCAGGCAAGAGUUCUAUGUGUUUGGUCAUGUGGGAUCAAGUCCUUACUUUUAGUACAUUAUAUCCUUAGAAUACGAGAGGGGGAGAAAAGCACAUUGCAGUUAGAAAAUUGAUAUAAAAUUGGUAAAAUAUACAAGGUAUUAAAUAAGAAAUUUUGUACAAUAAAAACAACUUCAAGUUAAUACUACCUUAUGAGCAAUUAAGUAUAGAUCACUCUGUCUUUUUAACAGUAUCCAUGAAUGUGUCAUGCUUGUAUUCUGUGAGGUACAGUCCUGGACAUUUUUUGCUCAAAGAAGCUGAAAGGAACCAGGAUUUCUCUCCAGGGGGCCUGUUACAACUCCCAUGGAAGCAGAUGAAAAAAAACAUUAUGGAUUUAAGUGUAGCUGGGUUCUACAUGUAAUUUUUCUGUCUUUAAUUUCCACAACUACAUUUCUCUCGAAAUAUACACCUAUGGAUCCACUAUCUGCUGCUCAAAUAAACUCGGCCCAGAAUACGAGUUACAUUCCACACGGAAUAGCUUCCAGAAGAUACCUUUUUUUUUUUUUACUGUAAUUUUGUGUAAAAUGGAAAGGCAAUAAGACUGUCAGUUACUUGGUACAGCUCAUGCAGGCUGAAACAGGAUCCAGCUGCUCUUUGGACAUUUAUUGCUUCAGUCCUUCCCUGUUAAAUGUCCACUGUCAUUUUGGUUUUAUGUGAAACCCUUCGUUCAAAAAUAUGACCACAGACAAGAAGUACUCUUAAAGUAAAAAAGUUUUCUAGCUGAUAUAAACCUAGACUAUGGCUGGCUCAAUAGGCUUAAAGCAAUUUUAAAUGAUAAUUUAUGCCCAAAAUACAUCCACAAUAUUUAUAAAUGGUGAAAUUUAUAUGAAUCUUUGACAUAACUCAUCCUAUAUUUUGUUUUAUAAACAUUGAGAAACUGUUCGCAAGGAAACAGGAUGUGCACUGUCUGAGGAGCUUUCUACUCUUUCCAUAAAAGGAUCUGCUACAUGCAUAUUAUACAGAGCUGUUGUAUAUCACUUUAGUCUUAAAAAAAAAAAAAGUGUAUACAUAGAAAGGUCAAGGAUGAAAUCCUUGAAUUCAAUAGGAAAACUCUUAUUGAUUUAAUUGCAUCAAAGUUUUCUCCUCUUUCUCCUCAAAUGUUGAAAACUAGCAUAACUUUACUGAAGAUGAUGAACCAACUUGAAGGAUGUUCUAGUUGUAUUAUAGCCGAGGAUCUGGCCCUCAGAAUGAAUGUAUUUCUUAGGGUAAGAAAGCAGUCAAGAGGAAAUAUCUCAAAAGACAAGUAAAUGAUUCAAAUUAAAUUUGCAAGUUUAACCCUGGGCUAAAGAACAGAACAAAGCCUGCACUGUAGUCCUCUGCUACACAUUUGUACAGGAUUGAUUGUCAUUUUAAAUGAAUAAAAUUAGGUAAACUUGUGUUCGUGUCAGAUUUAUAUCCUCAUUUGUAAUACAUUAACAAAUAAAGUGAAAAUAUAUUUAUAUACAUUAUAUAAGCUGAUCUGAAAUCCUGAUGUAUGAACCCACAGAUUUAUAAAUUAUACUUGUAAAUCAAUGUAAAUUGCUUGGUCAGAAUGUUCAUGCUUUGCCAUCAUAGAAAUUAGAUACAGAAAAGACUGAUUCAUUCACCUAGUCCAUCUCCCUGCCAGAGAAGAAUUAUUUCUGUUCAUUGUAAGCUUUUCUAGCAUGUUGACCAGUGUAAUUUUGAAGGACUCAAAGAUUAGGAUUUUUCUAUGUCUCUAUCAGAUAUAGAUUUUAUUUUUUUAUGUCCUGAUAAUUUAAACUGAGAGAUGUCAGAGUUCCAGGGCCUACUACUUAGUGGUACUGGGAUCAAACAUCUCCAAAGCCCCUAUAUCCUUCAAGAACAAGAAAAAGAAGUACAAUUAGCACAAAAAAAAACAGUAAGUGAAAAUGUGAGCUGUGUAAUCAGCAUACUUCUCUUCAUCCACACCUAGAGCCCCUCAGUAACGUAAAACCCUUUGCCACUGCUUUCAAAAGUUGGCUUAUUUCCAUUUCAGAAUAUGAGAAGCAAGGGGUUUAAUAAACAAGUGCUAAAGUAAAGCAAAACCUGUAGUUACGAAAUGGAGGUAUUAUUGUCUUGAUUGAGGCUCUUAACAUUAAAGGCGUACUUGGUUUAGUUUUAUCUCUCUUUCAUUUGUACAGAUUCCAUUUCCCAGAUCCGGAUGUAUGAGAGAUUAUAUAUAGAGAUCUGACACCCAUCUCUAUUUGGCUGUUGAAUCUUGGCAACUGAGUCCAUUAACCCUGUAGCAUCAUGUACUUCUGGAGUCUGCUUGAGAGCUGUGUGAUGUUAGAGGCAGCAGAGCUUACAGGUAAAAGAGUGGAGUGUAAGGCAAACAAGUUCCACAGUUGUUACUGGCACUGCCUGAAUAGAGGCUUUGUCCAGUCUUCUAUUUCUGCACAAUAGGAAGUUUUGCGUGUUGCAGUAAGUGACUGGUGCAGACUGAUAUCGUGAGCUUAUCAUGAACUUACCCAUAAUAGAAAAAAUAAAAGAGACAAUAGCUAACUGGAAAAAAGUGUAGCUGAUUUAUCAUUUACUGACCAAACUAUCCUUGCUGAGAAGGUUUGUACCCAUGUGAUAACUGUCUAUCAAAUUAUAAAAUGGCCAUAUUUAAAUCCCUGAACUAGAACAAGAAUGAUGUAAGGUCUUGUGAUUAAGAUGCAAACCGAAACAAAAGAUCGAGGUCCCCAUCCUAGUUUUGAUGCAGAUUGUUUGGAUCUCAUUAAUGUUCCCAGCAGCAUCCACUGAAGUUCAUGCUGCCUAGUCAGUGGAAUCAUUAGCCAGAUUUUUCAGAAACUCUGGACAUUCGUUCUUCCCAUUAAUUUGCUGGAAAUUAUUUUAAGGUAAUGUUCUUCUGAAAUUCUGGUUCUUUCAAUAUGUUUUUGGAACAAAGGCUCCCAAAUAAUUGAUGUGAUUCUGAAAGUGAUGUCCUCGAUCUUGCCUUCUCAUUAUCUCCAAAUUUAUAUAAUACUUUCCUUAAAGGAAUGUGAUGUAAAUUGUGUUGAGAUCUUUAGAUGGAAAGAGCAAAAUACCAACUCUUUAUUCUCUGUUUUUUGUGUGUUUUUUUUUUUUUUGUUGUUUGUGUGGGGUUUUUUGUUUUGUUUUGUUUGGUUGGUUGGUUUUUUGUUUUUUCGUGUUUUUUUUUUUUUUUUUUCCAUUUUUCUUCUGUAUAUGUUCAUAUUGUGUGUGCUUUUGAACUGAUUUUAGCUUUCUGGCUUGGGACUAUUCCUCUUCUGAGAAUUAAGCCAUUUAGUACAACAAAAUGAGCUUAGUAAUGCAUGCUAUUCUUUGAUGGAAGGCUACUCUACUUUCAUCACCAGCAAAUCAACACUCACCACAAUGCUUCACAUCUGAUUCUCUUUUCAUUUCCAGUAGCACGAGUCAGGAAUAAUGUCAAUUAAGUCUGUGGAAUUAAACUGGUGUAAGCGAGGAUAUUCAUGUUUUCCUUCUAUUCAGAACUCCUUAUUCUGACAUGUAAAUUGACUACCAUUUUACAAUAGAAGCCAUUUAGGAGUAAAUUUCCAAUGUGCUAUAUGCUCAUUAGAUUCGUACGUAUUUCACGUGUGCCAUUUUGAAAGUACCAGCACCCAUUUGAAAGAGUAUGAAGGUAAAAUGGUUACUUCUAUAAUGUUACUUAAAAGGUUUCUGUUUACUAAAACCUCACUGUGUCAUAAAGGCAGUGUUUGUGCAUACUACAGAAAAAGCAUACUUGCCUUUGUGACUGAUCUAUGGAACAACUCUUGAAUAAUGGAAACUUAUUUUGUACAUAUAAGAGAGAUAGACAAUCCUCCUCCUGCCCCUUGGAAAAACUAGAAAAUUUGGCUUUGCUAUUUCAGAAUUUAAUCUUAAUCUUCAGACCACUAAAACUCUCCAGUGGGGCCAGUGGUUGAACUGAGCUACUGAAUGUUGCCUGAAGAAAUUUAUUACAAGAUUGAAUAAUAUAGUAUUUUCUCCAUAAUAUUUUAACCUGUUGUGUACCAUUAAGAGAGAAAUUUGGGGCUGAAGAGUGGGGACUGUCACUUCUGCCUGCACAUAGCAUUUUCAUUUUGGGUGCAAGAAAAUAAUCAGUGAUCAUAGUUUUGCACUCUCUUUUGCAUAUUUCUUUCUUUUGACACAAAAAAUAUUAUGCUGCAGAAGUGGUUGCAGUUCAACUAGCAAAGAGGCUACAGUGCUUCAUGUUUUCAAACAAAAAUAAUUCCGGUGAUUGUUAACAGAAUUUAUUUCAUUGUAUGGAAUUAUACUCCUUAGGCAAGGUCUCACGAACUUUUCUGCCCAAAUGGGAGUCUCAAUAAAGUGCUGGCUGAUCCUUGUGCAAGGCUGAGUUUACUGUUCUUGAUAAUUAAUCAUUCUUCAUGAGUGUCUCUGAUAUGCUGAACUAUCAAAAUGGAGAAGCAUUUAAAAUAUACCAUAAUUUUAUACUUGCAGCAUUGAAGAUUCAGAGGCUUCUAGACCUGUUAGUUAAAUACAGACAAUAAAUUAUAAACCAAAACGAGAAGCCCACAGACGACAUGAGAAAUUCCUGAAACAGUGUAACUACUGCCAUCUUCCAACAUGUACACAUACCUGCCAUGUAUGCAUCCUCUUAUAAAUGUUCAUGUAUGCAAAACACAACAAAGACAAACCCUCAAAAAAUGGGAAACCUGAAGAAUUCUGAAGGAUGCCAGGAACUAUAACACUGUAAUUUUGUCUCCUGCAGACAAGGAGUAAUUCUGCUGUUUACACCAAUAGCUCCAAAGUUUUAAUCCGUGGAGGGGUAAAUUUUGAAGUUUUAAAAUCUGUUGUAUUUAAUUGUAGUGUAGAGAGAAGACUUUCAAAAUGUUCACCUUCUUGGAUCAUAUUUAGUCAGUGGUUUUCAAAUAUUGCUGAUUUGUGUAUCCCUAAGAAUUAUCUGAUGAAACUGCAGAUUUUUGUACAAGAACUGAUAACCUGCUGGGAUUAGGCAAGUUUUGUUAGAACACGGAUCUCCAGGGUCUCAAUCACUUGUUGAAAAUCGCUAAUUGGUAUUUUUGUUAUCAGUUACCAUAUUAGCAGUUAUCUUUCUGGGUUUCCAAAUUAAUUUCUGCUAUGGGGUACAGGUCCAUUGAAGCAGAGCACAUGCCGUCAGUGAGAUUUCUGUGUAAUGCUUAUAUUCUUUCCCAGAGAAAGUCUGGGAAUGGAUUGGCAGUUAAUUAAGGGACUGAGCCAAUACACAGUAUGGUUGUGAUGACACUAAGUCUUACUCCCUUUACCCAGCCUAGGCUUUCAGCAGUGUCCCAACUCCCCUGACACCAUCUCACACCCUCAGAUCAUGCAGGCUCCUUAUCUCAGGGCAGUAACAAUUAGGACUGUGCUGUCUAAGCGCAAGGAUAUUGGAUUGCAAAAGAGUUCUCUCAUUGUUAUUUUUUAUAUGGAAAUGUUAUUUCUUAAGAGUCCUAGGCCAAAAGGAGGGCCACAUGGAGCCAGAAGAGUUAGGCUCUUUUGACACUGUGUAGACAGGAGAAGAUAGUAUUUACAGCUGUAGAAAUUUACCUGGACAUGUGUAGCGAUGGCCUUCUGCAUGCUGAGAAGUUGGAGUAUGGUCUUGUACACUGCUAGAAAUAGAAAUAAAUGAAAGCAGCCUAGAUGAAAGUGGUGGGAAUAUAAAGGCCAUGACCAUGUGGCAAACAACAUGUGGAUAACUGUUGAGCACAGCACAAAUAGUCUGCUAGACAGACCUGAGAGUCAGUAGGUACAACGAUGUUUGUGGUAAGUAUUUAUCCAGAGAUCCCUUCAAAUGUACCUGUGUGCAGAGCACUGUAAGUGGCACCAGCUGUGAAAAGUGUGUGGGCCACACCAUGCCAUCUGCCCAGAGGACUGGGACUGCUCCCUGCAGCAGGUUGUGAGGACAACAGCAAUAUGGUGAACAACUGCCGGAGCUCUGCAUCUCUGCGGUGCCAUACCUGGAGCUGCGUCACUGCUGCUUCCUUCCCUGUCUGCCUGCACCUUUCCAUCCCUCAGCUGGCAGCCAGUGUAGUGUGGGCAAAGGUUUCUCCUUCCCAUUGUUCCAGGUUAUGUCUGGGAUUUCUGACCAGGCAGCCCAUGUUGGGCUGUGAUACUCCUGUUCUCGUAGAGCUUCGGGCUAUGUGUGAAAGCCAAGUUCUGCAGAGGGAUGCAGGUGCCCCUGGAGCAGUCCACCGGGAGCCAACAGCAGCUGAAACCAUUUGAACUCAGUGGCAUUGAGUUUCUGUUUGGAAAUUUGGAGACUCAGUUUUGGCAUUGAACCUCCAAAGUGUUUUGCUCUGCCCUUACCCACUGCAGUCUCACUGAUAAAAUCUUUGCCAGUCACCAAUGAGGCUGAGUAGAAGGUAAAGGGGAAGCUAUGAAAUAAACCCAAAUAAUCUCCCUGUCCUACAAGUUACCGAUCCCGUUAGUUCAGUGACCCUGAAAGAAUGAUCUUGUGUGUUCACUGUGGCUGGUAAAUGAAUAAGCAUUUCAUGGUAGAAAGAUAUAUUUCAUAGUGACUUAGGGAUAUAUGUACAGAGUGCAUUUAUCUGAUAAUUUCUCUCUUGAUUUGUUGAAAGAAAAACAUGAAGUCAUACCUUGUGAGGUCUAAGUUUAAAAAGGGGUGUUAAAGUUUAUUCCCUGUGCAAGACAAAGAGCAUGAGGAAGUGUGUGCAAAUCAAAUGUGAACACAGAAGAUCCACAUUCUGGAAUUUGUUUUACAUGGUUGUAGGAGAAUAGCUGAUUUGAUUUUGUAGAAUUGACCUGAAAUAUAGCAGCUGUUUGUGUCUCCUUCUGAUAUUUUGUUGAAGCUUAGCUUUAACUUUUAUGCCAGCAGCAAAAAGAGUCCUUGUGUCAGAAAAUAAAUUUGAUCUUCUUUUCUUUUAGAUACUCUUCUACUUCAGCAAUUUUUUCAGGUACUGCAACUGAAUGUAGAAAAUCACAGAAACUGCAGAUUCUUUCAUUUCACUGUCUGAAAAGAUAUCUCCAAGUCACUGAACAUAAAAGGACAUUACAAGGGAGACAAACAGAAAAGAAAAUAAACCAAGAGGUGACAUCUUCGAUCUGAUAACUGUACCUGAUAUUAACAUAUAUGCAUAGAGCAGUGACUUCUUCAAAAAAUUAUGACCCACACACCUUGAUAUCCAGUACUUUCAGUACAAAGUUGCAGGAUUUUUUCUCAUUUGUCUCUACUAUGGUAAGUUAAAUGGCCGCUACCAUUUCUGCCUCUAUCAAUAACGAGAAUAUAGGGAACUUAAAAGACAGAGACUGUUCAAGGCAGAUGAGAUCAGGCCCCUGUGUUACAGAGGCAGAAAACCUAGAAGUUUGUCAUGUCCAUUCAAACAGAAUUUGGCCACAUUGAGAGACAGCAUGCUAAAUUUUGGGCCCUGGCUUAGGUUUCACUGUGCUGGCUCAGCUUCUGGAAAGAAGCCACAGGGUUAGAUUGAUGACCCCAUGUGGAAUACACCUCAGAAGAAGGAUGUAGCAUAUGUUUGGCAGGAUGACCCCACACUAUUCCCUUGAUUAGAACAAAGGGAGGGAGAAGAGCACGCUACUAUUCUGGCUGAUUACAAGCCAUUCAAAGACAUAGUAAAUUAGAGGAGUCUUUCUGAGGUGUAUUAAUUUAUAUUGGAAUGGGGAAAGAAACAGAGGAGGUGUAAAAAAUUACUUUCUCUGGUCCCUCUUCCUUAGUCCUGGGCUGCAUCUUUUGACAACUGAAAGCAUGACAGGAGUCACCACGGCUAAACCAUUCUAUUGCUAUGAGAUUCUGCAACAUGAGGAAAAUCAUGACUAUCCCUUUAGGUUCAGAGGACAGUAGACUUCAACCAUAUUAUGCUUUCAAACUCUUCCGUGAAGAUACAGAUUAUUUCCUCUGCCUGAACAAUCUACUCUGUAAGAAGGAGAGAAUUACCUGUCUCUGUAACACUCUGAGAUCUGUGGUUGAAAGGGACAUAUGUCAGUUAUAAAUUGCUGUUUCUUUCUGUCACUCAUUGCUCAAGCUUUGCUUUGCAUGUAGCUCCCUGUUUCGCAAAGGAUGUGGCUGAGAGGAAGGAGCUCGCAGUGGCUUAGGAUUUAGGAGAACUUUGCCAUAGGCUCACUGUGGGACUUCCAGAUUUAUAUCUCUUUGUGUUUUGCUACUCCAUAUAUAAACUGAAGAUAGUAAUGCUCCCCUUGGCUUGAUCUUUUGUCCUGUUUAUUUAGUUUAUAAACAUCCUGGGAGCAGUGAUCAUCUCUUAGUAUGUAUAACACCUACCAAAGAGAAGCUCAGAUAUCAUUUAGGGCCUCUAUGUACUUCUAUAAAAUUUCCAUUAAAUAAUUAUAUUAUGGCAAGUGUCACCAAAUGAUCUUGUCUCCAUAGACUUCUAAAAUAUUUUUCUUAAUGUACAGAAAAAUAUUCAGUUUCAGACAUCUGCAAAACUUUUGCUUUGCGUGGAAGGCUAUAUGUACAACUGCGGAAAGAGGUGUCUCUGGGUAGUGGCAAGUUUUAGAGUCAGCUUUGUUCUUGACUAGAAUAGAUUCUGAAGGCAGAAUUGCUUCUGGAGAGUUGUUGAGCACUGAGGAGAUGUGUUUGUUUCUGAUCCUAUUAAAAUAGACCCUUUAGAUAAAAAAAAUAAUAAAUAAUUAUUUUCCUGCAUGCUGUUUAGUCACUUUGUAGCAGGAUUAGCACAUAGGUGUAAAACAUCCAGAUUCUACCCACAGAUGUUACUCUUCUGAAAAGCCAAUCUGCAAAAUCUCUGGACAUCUGAUUCUACUCAAGAAAUCUGACCAAUAAUGGGAUCAGAAGAAAGGCAGUACAUUUGGUUUGAUGUCUACAUGAAACAGCAUUUAAAUGUAUAGAAUCUUCAUCCUGUAUUAGCAAAGAGAAGAUUGAGGUCUGGUGGGGAUAAUCAAUUAUAUUAUUUCCAAACAGACACAUACCCAAAUUCUGGAUAAAUAACGUUUCUUGAACAAAGUAUUUUUUUAGCAUUGGAUAGCUCACGACUAUGAAGAUCUUACUUCUAGUAUCUUACAAAAACAGAAAAGUCAAGAAAAAUCAAGUGCAGAUACUCUCAAAAGAUUUGCAAGCCUUCUGACCAAUUUUUCUUUAGCUGAAAUAAUCACUGAACUUCAUUGAUAACCUGUGUCCACAAGACAGUAAUAGUACCAAAAUUUAUUUCAAUUGUGACUUUUGCUAGAUGAAACUGGAGGAGUUGAUAAGUUUGAGUACCAGUUACUCUCACACAAGAAAGCGGCUGAAAAUCAGACCCAGGAUUAUUGUGACACUUUUUUUUUUACUUUUAAAUUUUUGUCUUAGAAACAAAUAAACACAGCUAGAUUUAGGGAAAAUUUUAACUGUUGUAGUCAAACAUCAAGAAGAGGGAAAUGAUUAUGUAAGGACAGCAAGAACAGGGCUAAUGAAGAUGCUCAGCAUUCAAAUCUGCCUUUUUGUUUUCUCUUUCCUUCUCUGUCCAGCAGGAAAUUUGCCCUCCUUUUUUUUUUUUUUUCCCCUUCCUUUAUUUUUGUUGUUUGCAAUAAGACAACUCCAAUGAAAGUGGUUGUCAUGAGAUAAUCACGCCUCUGGGGGAUUAUGGGCAUCUGGCUAUGAUUCAUGAAAUCCCUCAGGAUUGAUUCCCCCUUUCCCUCCUCCUUAAGAUAACCACACCUCCCACUGUGUUUUAUGACUUGAAAAAUGCAGUUUUUGUGAUUAUAAUGUGCAGAUACUAUU